rnacentral:rRNA from 1 species
AGAGUUUGAUCAUGGCUCAGAACGAACGCUGGCGGCGUGCUUAACACAUGCAAGUCGAACGCGAAAGUUUUCUUCGGAAAACGAGUAGAGUGGCGCACGGGUGAGUAACGCGUAAGUUAUCUACCCUCCCAUCUGGAAUAACCCACCGAAAGGUGUGCUAAUACCGGAUACGUUGGAAACAAGAAAGGUGGCCUCUAUUUAUAAGCUACCGUGGGGGGAUGAGCUUGCGUACCAUUAGCUAGUUGGUAGGGUAAUGGCCUACCAAGGCGACGAUGGUUAGCGGGUCUGAGAGGAUGAUCCGCCACACUGGAACUGAAACACGGACCAGACUCCUACGGGAGGCAGCAGUGAGGAAUAUUGCGCAAUGGGGGAAACCCUGACGCAGCGACGCCGCGUGGAUGAUGAAGGCCCUUGGGUCGUAAAAUCCUGUCAGUUGGGAAGAAAUGCAUAUUGGCUAAUACCCAUUAUGUUUGACGGUACCAGCAAAGGAAGCACCGGCUAACUCCGUGCCAGCAGCCGCGGUAAUACGGAGGGUGCAAGCGUUGUUCGGAAUUACUGGGCGUAAAGCGCACGUAGGUGGUCUAUUAAGUCAGAUGUGAAAGUCCCUGGCUCAACUGGGGAAGUGCAUAUG